AAGAACGCAGACCAAAAUCUGGCAUCGCGAGGAGGUCAAAUCGGAAACCUCCCCCUCCCCCUCCCCCAUAUCUUAUCAACACAGUUCCCUUCCUCGUCUCGUAGGAUCUCUAUCUUGAGGAGAUCGAUCAUGGCCUGCCCUCCCUCCUGAACCUCGUAGCUGACCCCGCCGCCGCCGAUUCAUUGAGGAUUUGAGGUUGAGGGCACAAGAGGCAUGUCUUGUUCAGCAACUGGGAUGGAAAGCAGAUCAGUCCCCACCCCCGAUUCAUAGAAACACAAGGUUUACUGAACAUAAGAGGUGGCUUAAAUCUAGUAACUAUUAAGGUUUCAGGUGUGGACGCGUGCAAUAUUUCAAUGUAGUUCUGCACCAUUACUACCUUGCAGAUAUGUAAUGGACAAGAAUUUCAGUGCACGGGCGAAGGGAAAUAGAUUCUGCUGCAGAUAAGGCAGGAACUAAAGUAUUCUUGAAGAGCCCGAAAAAUCAUAACAAGGGCGUAGCUCUAGAUACAAUGAUUCAAAAGAUAAAUGGAUGAGUAUAUGGGAGCGUGGGGAUUAUACUGCAAUGAUGAUGUCGAUGAUCCGUUUCAUGAUGAUGAUGACGGAUGCAUUUAGUUUUAGUUAUGUUGUAGGGAUGACGUUCCUGUCGGAUGUUGUUCCUUAGUUAAGAUGGAUAUUUUCAGUUUAAGUUUCACUGUCAAGAAAAUUGUUAGAUUAUGCAUCACAUUUGGAUGAUGUUCCUCCUGUAAUAUCCACUAUUGUAAUCCAACAGUUUUGAUCUAAUAUAUGAUUUCUUCCUCUCGUGAGUA